CAAAACCUACAGUUCACACCUUAUCCGUCUGGUAAUUCUCUUUAAGGUUCUAAAUCCAGCGGUGGUUCUUGCCCAUUGUACCUCCGCACGGAAUCGGACCUCGGGUCGUUCUUCUAGCAGCCCUCGAAACCCUGUAAACUCUGUCGGCAAGAGGUACACCGGUUGCGGUCGGUCGACGUCCGUAACGCGGCCGGAGCCGUCCUCAGCCAGUUCGGGUUACCGGUUGAACGUAAAAGUGCAGUUCGUACCGACUAAUAGUCUCCCGUUCCUUUCUACCUCAUCGUCUUCGUAACGAAUGCUACUCAAGUAGCCCAGUUAUCACGUGUAAUUGUUCGUAACGGACAACAGGCGGAAGUGGAUGAAACUACUCCUGCUAUCGCCCAUGUAGUGGCAACUGGCGACCUUCUCCACACGACCCUCAUGUUGUGUUCGACUGGCCGUAGCGCUGUAGCGGUCCCUCCAGCCGUUACUGUUGUACGCAAGCAUUACUGAACUUCUUUCGUAGAUAGAUAGAUGAUGAGAUGAUGGUGAUAUUUUCUUUCUCUCCCCGUCUAGGUUUGUUAGUGUGGGUAGGUAGUAGUUCUAGAUUACCAGGUACCACAGAGAUACAAAUUGUGAUCGUUCGGUGAUUAGAGGGAUUGUGUUGUUCGGUGUGUUAAUUCGGGGCGUGUGGGGCAAGCUGUGCGUGCGUGCGGGGGUGGUGCUAGAAAGGGUGCGGGCGUGGAGGAGGAGGGUUGCUGGUCUCGUGCCGGCCCGGAGGCGACGGCAGGCGACGAGCGGGUAGGAGGCGGAGGCGGUGGUCGGGUAGGAGGAGGCGGAGGAGGCGGCAGCGGCGGGCGGGUAAGAGUCGUAGGCACCGGCGGGCGGCGGGCGGCGGUUGAUGAGGAGGAGGGGUAUGACGGGACCGGUAGGGUUGGCAGCAGUAGGUGGGUGAGGACUGGGUGGGAGAGCCGGAGAGGGGGAGGGGAGCUAGGGGGUCUAGGCUAGCUCCGUACGGGGUGGCGGUGGGGGUGGGUGGGCGGCGACUAGGUGGUAGUGCGAGCCAUCGCGGCGGGAGGAGGAAGAGAGACGUCAGGUACCGGCCGUGGCGUCGGAGCAGGGGUGUCGACGAGGCGUCGCGGAGGCUGCUGGCGCGGGCCUCGCGCUGUCACCGUAGUAAGGCUCGUGUACUGCGGUGCGAGGCGGCCCCGAGGAAGUGGCAGGCGCCGAGGAGGUCCGAGACGUGGAACGGCUGAGGGGGAAGCAGUGCCGGAGAGCAGGUACGAUCUCCGUCGGUGCAGGAGCUACCAACGACGACCUAAGAUGGGGAGGUUCAACGAGCCUGCGGAGGGGUUGAGAGGUAGGAGGGGUUGUUCCAGCGACGGUAGUGGUUUUCGGUCCUACUUCCGGUCCUUCGGGAUGUGGUAGUGCGGGCCCUCUAGACCUGGCUCGGGCUCGUGCUGUUCAAGGAGCUCCGCGACGUCGACAAACUAGCACUAACCUUUUUCUAUUUUCGUUGUAGCCGGUGAACACCACCAGGCUUCCGGAGGCCCGCGGCGUCGUGGUGCGACAGGACUGCGGCUGGGUCAGCGUUUGCCGCCGGUAGAGACCCUUGGUCCGAGGGUUUUGGCUCAGUUUGAGGCUGUCGCUCAGUAACCAGCUCUGUCCCCCGCCGGCUACGUUCGCUUCGCCGCUUAGUAGUCUAUGGUCCAAAUAUUCUUCCAUACGUCUCUAGUUCAGACCCAGGUCAAUAAUAGUCCUAUGUUGUAUCUUUGGAUGUGAUGGUCAUCAUCAGACUUAGAUUUCUCCUCAGGCUCAGUCCCAGCUGGACGAAGACCUGAAGGGAGGAACUUAGGAGGUAACUUUCGUAUAGCGGAACCAGUUUAAGCCGGCGGGAGGAGCUAAGGUAAAUGGGCGACGCCGCGGGCUGAUGAGGUGGGUGCAUCUGCAACAAGGCCACUACACUAGCUACUGUGGCUACUUCUCGAUAUGAUAGAAGUCUUCACGGUCUCUAUGAAGUCAGAACGAUCAUCAAGGCGCACCUGAAGCUGCAAAUCGAACAAUGGAGUAGAUGCAAGAACAUGGGAACCCUCCCAGAACAUCUAUCAGUUCGAAGAGUCGGAAGAAGUAAACAUCAACAGAUAUGAGUCUGUUCAAUUAGAAGACGUACACGAACAAAGAAAAUACGAGACAUACAACCCAGUACUCUGGGUACAAACAUUAUGAACCGAGGAGCCUCGGAUUACUUAUUUAUGAGACUCAGCAUCUCAGGACAACACUACGG
rnacentral:rRNA from 1 species